rnacentral:rRNA from 1 species
UUAGAUACCCUGGUAGUCCACGCCGGUAACCGAUGAUUANUAGGUGUCGGUGGGUAUGGACCCAUCGGUGCCGCAGCAAACGCAGUAAGUAAUCCACNUGGGGAGUACGUUCGCAAGAAUGAAACUCAAAGGAAUUGACGGGGACCCGCACAAGCGGUGGAGCAUGUGGUUUAAUCCGAAGCAACGCGAAGAACCUUACCAAGUCUUGACAUCCCAUCGAAUAAAGGGUAAUGCCUUUAGACCUUCGGGACGAUGGAGACAGGUGGUGCAUGGUUGUCGUCAGCUCGUGUCGUGAGAUGUUGGGUUAAGUCCCGCAACGAGCGCAACCCUUAUCUUCAGUAGCCAGCGAGCAGGGUCGGGCACUCUGGAGAGACUGCCGGGGAUAACCCGGAGGAAGGUGGGGAUGACGUCAAAUCAUCAUGCCCCUUAUGAUUUGGGCUACACACGUGCUACAAUGGCGUAAACAGAGGGAAGCGAGCCCGCGAGGGGGAGCAAAUCCCAAAAAUAACGUCCCAGUUCGGAUUGUAGUCUGCAACCCGACUACAUGAAGCUGGAAUCGCUAGUAAUCGCGGAUCAGAAUGCCGCGGUGAAUACGUUCCCGGGUCUUGUACACACCGCCCGUCACACCAUGGGAGUCGGAAAUGCCCGAAGUCUGUGACCCAACCGUGAGGAAGGAGCAGCCGAAGGCAGGUCGGAUGACUGGGGUGAAGUCGUAACAAGG